rnacentral:rRNA from 1 species
GACGAACGCUGGCGGCGUGCUUAACACAUGCAAGUCGAACGGAAAGGCCCUGCUUUUGUGGGGUGCUCGAGUGGCGAACGGGUGAGUAACACGUGAGUAACCUGCCCUUGACUUUGGGAUAACUUCAGGAAACUGGGGCUAAUACCGGAUAGGAGCUCCUGCUGCAUGGUGGGGGUUGGAAAGUUUCGGCGGUUGGGGAUGGACUCGCGGCUUAUCAGCUUGUUGGUGGGGUAGUGGCUUACCAAGGCUUUGACGGGUAGCCGGCCUGAGAGGGUGAACGGCCACAUUGGGACUGAGAUACGGCCCAGACUCCUACGGGAGGCAGCAGUGGGGAAUAUUGCACAAUGGGCGGAAGACUGAUGCAGCAACGCCGCGUGCGGGAUGACGGCCUUCGGGUUGUAAACCGCUUUCGCCUGUGACGAAGCGUGAGUGACGGUAAUGGGUAAAGAAGCACCGGCUAACUACGUG